rnacentral:rRNA from 1 species
AGGCAGUCUAUUUAUUCAACUGAGUAAAUGAAGACCCUGAAGAUAAAGUGCACUUCUAGGUGAUAUUUUUCACAGAACCCCUCCUUGGUUCUAAUCAAGGAAGUUGGAUCCACUAAACUCUUAGAGAAAUUAUAUUAAUAAACGAAGUGAAUUGAAAUAUCUUAGUAACUUCAGGAAAAGAAAUCAAACGAGAUUCUAUGAUUAGUGUGAACGAAAGUAGAAAAGCCUAAUUAUUAAGCAAGUAAAAUGGAUUAAUCUGUUUGAAUAUAGGGGAACCUUCCUCUAAGGCUAAAUAUGAUAUAUAAGCGAUAGUGAAUGAGUACCGUGAGGGAAAUAUCUUGAAAUAGUGGUUUUAUAAGCAGCUCAAGUUAAGUUUAAAUAAAAAACGAGAGUGUACCUUUUGUAUAAGUGCGACAAGAAGCACUAGUUUGUAAUUUGGUGAAAUUCCAACUGACCUUUCCUACGGUCUGACCCUGUCCGAGAGGACCUACCUAUCCCAAUUGGGUCAGCAAGUUAAUAUUAGAUGCGAGCAUAGCACUAUGCCUAGAUAAACCGAUUAUGAAAUAAUGAAUAAGUAUCUAGUAUUAGACCCGAAGCCUAGUGAUCUUACCAUAAUCAGGAUUAUAAAAGUCCGAACGGGUUAUCGUUGUAAAGAUAUCCGAAGAAUUGUGGUAAGUUAGUGAAAGACAAAACUGACUAGGAUAGCUGGUUUUCCGCGAAACCUAUAUAAGUAGGUAAUUCAAGUAACAUCUUAGCAGGUACAGAACUGUGAUCUCAGGCAAAAUUGUAUUAUCUUAGGUUUCUAAGGUAAUAGUUUUGCAUACAUCGGGGGAUCGUGAAGAUUUUAUCGGUGAGUAUUUGCUCUCGGAAGGGCAAAGAUGAAUAUUGAAUAAUCAGACAUAGUACGAUAAGGUUGUAUGUCUAAAGGGAAACAGCCCAGAACAAGUGUUUAAGGUUCCAAAAUUAUUGUUAAGUGAAAUUAAGGAAGUAUUUUUCAAAUACAACCAGGAAAUAGGCUUAGAAGCGGCCAUUUUUUGAAGACCUACCGGAUGAUGUGGGAUAUCAUCUAUGUGGGAGAAACUAUCAAACUCCGGGGAAUUCCUAAAGCUUCUGAUACCAAGCUAUAUUCGAAAGAAUAUAAGUGGCUGAACUAAUUACUCAGGUAUGGUAACAAGUCAGAAGAUAUCUGAAAAGAUUAUGGAAAAUCGCGGAUAGGGGAAUACCCUCGCCUUAAGCUUAUGGAAUUUCUUUAAAGUAACGGCCUCUAAGUUUACAGACCUGCCCUAAAGGAUUAAACGAUGAGAAAAUCUUCCUUAUGUAUGACAACCUUAAGAUUAAAGAAUUUUACAACUGAGUCUAAAUAUCUUUAAUAAUAGAGUAUUAAGUGUUCUGGAAAAAAACAUAAGGGUGUCUAGUAUAAUAUUUACAUUAUAUUAUGGCAAAACCGUACCUAGAAACUAUCACCAGUAAGCAAGUAGAGAAUACGAAGGCGUGUUUAAUUAAAACACAGCACUUUGCGCAAGAUGACAAAUCGAAGUAUAAAGUGUGCCGUCUGCCCGAUGAUGGAUGGUUAACGAAUUUAUUUAGCUGACUAAAAUAGGCUAGGUUUUGAAGGAACCCCCAUUCAAUGGCGGCCUUAUCUAUAAGGGUCCUAAGGUAGCGGAAUACCUUGGCCGUUAAAUGCGGUCUUUGCAUGUUUUUGAUCUUCAGGUGGAGGUCCGUUCUAAUAAAGGUAAAAAGGUUAUAGUUAUUAAAUCAGAUAGUUAUCCUACCUUUUUAUCUUUAAUAGAUCCAUAUAUUAUACCUGAAAUGAGAUUUAAGUUACCUUAACUUUUAUUAUUUCUAUUUACUUUCUAUUUAAAAAUAUAUAAAAUAUAUAAAAAAAAUAUAUUUUAUAUAUAAAAAAAUAUAAAGUCAUAAAAAAAUCUAUAAUUUAAAAAUAUAAAUAGUUUUAAGUUUAAAGUAAAACGAAGACAUAGUCUGAACCUCUUUGAGAAAAGAGGAAUAAAGGAUAAACCUUUAUUAUAACAUAAUUGAACAGGCUAAUUGCGCCAGAGAGUACAAAUUGAGUGCGCAGUUUGGCACCUCGAUGUCGGCUUAGCUCAUCCACAUGAAUGCAGGAAUCAUGAAGGGUACGACUGUUCGUCGAUUAAAGAGCUACACGAGCUGGGUUAAAUACGUCGUGAGACAGUAUGGUUUCUAUCUUCUAGAGGAAAUUAGAGUAAAAUAAGGAUAGCCCCUUCGUACGAAAGGAGUUGGGUAUAUUAACCUCUGGUUUACCUGUUGUUUAUACGCUUAAUAUUAGUCAUUGGCUUUUGCUUUUGAAAAAAAAUAAUCUGAAAAUUCAGAUUCUGGGUAUUGCUUUUACUCAAGUAUAUAUAUAUAGUAUAGGCAGGGCAGGAAAGCUAUGUUAGUUAAAGAUAAGUGCUGAAUGCAUAUAGGCACGAAACUUAUCUUAGGAUACUCUUAAAUAUAUGUAGUAGAAUACUACGAAUAUUACUUUUUAAAGUAUUUAUAGGCUUUAGCUGAAAGAGUUUUAAUUCUUUUAGGUAUAAAGUACUAAUAUUAUUA